rnacentral:rRNA from 1 species
GACGAACGCUGGCGGCGUGCUUAACACAUGCAAGUUGAACGGUAAGGCUCCAGCUUGCUGGGGUACACGAGUGGCGAACGGGUGAGUAACACGUGGGUGACCUGCCCUGCACUUCGGGAUAAGCCUGGGAAACUGGGUCUAAUACCGGAUAGGACCGCACCGUGAGGGUGUGGUGGAAAGUUUUUUCGGUGUGGGAUGGGCCCGCGGCCUAUCAGCUUGUUGGUGGGGUAAUGGCCUACCAAGGCGGCGACGGGUAGCCGGCCUGAGAGGGUGGACGGCCACAUUGGGACUGAGACACGGCCCAGACUCCUACGGGAGGCAGCAGUGGGGAAUAUUGCACAAUGGGCGGAAGCCUGAUGCAGCGACGCCGCGUGGGGGAUGACGGCCUUCGGGUUGUAAACUCCUUUCACCAUCGACGAAGGGUUUCUGACGGUAGAUGGAGAAGAAGCACCGGCUAACUACGUG